UUGAACGCUGGCGGCAGGCCUCACACAUGCAAGUCGAGCGGAUGAAGGGAGCUUGCUCCUGGAUUCAGCGGCGGACGGGUGAGUAAUGCCUAGGAAUCUGCCUGGUAGUGGGGGAUAACGUCCGGAAACGGGCGCUAAUACCGCAUACGUCCUGAGGGAGAAAGUGGGGGAUCUUCGGACCUCACGCUAUCAGAUGAGCCUAGGUCGGAUUAGCUAGUUGGUGGGGUAAAGGCCUACCAAGGCGACGAUCCGUAACUGGUCUAAGAGGAUGAUCAGUCACACUGGAACUGAGACACGGUCCAGACUCCUACGGGAGGCAGCAGUGGGGAAUAUUGGACAAUGGGCGAAAGCCUGAUCCAGCCAUGCCGCGUGUGUGAAGAAGGUCUUCGGAUUGUAAAGCACUUUAAGUCGGGAGGAAGGGCAGUAAGUUAAUACCUUGCUGUUUUGACGUUACCAACAGAAUAAGCACUGGCUAACUUCGUG
rnacentral:rRNA from 1 species